rnacentral:lncRNA from 1 species
GGGAUGAAAGAAGCUCUGAUACGGUUAUGGAGUUCGAGAUUUUUCGAUUGUGGAAGAUGCCUUUUGUUGAUGAGGGUUCUCAAGGUUGUUGAAAGUUUGUGGAGGCGUAAAGUUAUGGAAGUUGAUAUCGAUUCUGCAGAGUGAUGGUGAAGGAGUUUUAUUGAUUUGAAGGUUGAGUUUUUGACAGUGAAGAAGAUUGAAGCUUUUGGCAGUGAAAAAGAUUGAAGCUUUUGGUAGUGACCAAGAUUGAAGCUUCAAUGAGGUUAGCUUUUAUAACAAUCUCUCUCUCCAAAAUCAGUUAGAAACUCAACUUAAAUUCCAAAGAAAUUCAAUCUAAAUUCACUUCAAACCCACAAAACAGUUAGGGUAGUUAGUAUCCAAUUCUGUUAUGAAACUGCUUAUGAGUUUGUUGGAAGGAUGAAAUUGGUUAAAACUUAGUUAUGUAGGUUGUUGUUAGCAUGAGUUGGGUUAAGAUUGGUUAGUAGUUAAAGCAUUUUGAUUCAGUUAAAAUAAAAAUGAUGAAAUCUGAUGGUUAUAAACGAAUUAUGAAACUGAGUUAUUUAAGUUUGUUUUUGCUGUAACUGAUUUUCUAGUCAUGUCUAAUCUCGAGCUCUUAAUAAUAGUUAAUGUUAAUGAGAGUUAGUUUGAUUUUCUAUGGAAAAUGUUAAGUCGGAUUGCUGUAACUGAUUUUCUAGUCAUGUCUAAUCUCGAGCUCUUAAUAAUAGUUAAUGUUAAUGAGAGUUAGUUUGAUUUUCUAUGGAAAAUGUUAAGUCGGUUAAAGUGUUAUGCUGCAGAACUAUUGUUGAUUAUCACUGAUGCAAUAUUUGUAAGAAAACAUGAUACACAGGAGAACCAGCACGAUUGUUAUCUCAGGAAUUGAAAAUUACAACUGAAGCUUCCUCUCGAAGUACCAUUUUUCUUUUAGGAUGAGUGGAGACACAACCAAAGCUUAAAUAUGCUCCUUAUGAUAGUGUAUUGAAGGCGUCCAAGUUUGAUUUCUGUUUCAGCUCUAACAUAUUAGUUUUGGAAAUGUGUAUGAAAAUGUAUGUUAUACUUGAAUGGUAAUCAUGAAUAGAACUACGAAAAUGAAUUUGAGUGGAAUGGUUUGGAUGCAAAAAAUGAAUGGACAAGGCUAAACACAACUAUAUAAGUUGUAUGGAUAAAAGGCCUUGAAAAUGACUUGGGGGAAAAUAGUUGUCUUUGGCAACUGGUUGACCAAAAAGUCAACUGGUUGACCAGAAAGCCAACUGUUGAACAAAGUUCCCAAAUUUUGUACUUUUUUAUGUAAUGAACAAAGUGAUGGCAUGUAAUGUCUAUUGGAAUGAAGUCUUGGUGAAUUUGAAUGGGUAUAAUACUUGAAUUUGUAUGGAAUUUGAAUCUUG